UGCUUUCAGUGUUUGGAAAUAAAAUUCUUUGCUGGUGGUGCUAUAUAUAUGUUGCUUCCAUUCGAGAAGAUUGCUCCAAGAUUCUCCAUUUUCUCCAUCCAUAAGCUUCACAGCUUGUUUGCUUCUUGGCUAAAGGGAAGGUUUCCGAUUCUUCAUGAAAAUAUUGUGUUGAAUAUGAGCAUAUGUUACUUUGCCUGAA